rnacentral:rRNA from 1 species
AGUUAACGUUGGCGGCGUGCCUAACACAUGCAAGUCGAACGGCAGCAUGGGUGCUUGCACCUGAUGGCGAGUGGCGAACGGGUGAGUAAUGCAUCGGAACGUACCCGGAAGUGGGGGAUAACGUAGCGAAAGUUACGCUAAUACCGCAUAUUCUGUGAGCAGGAAAGCGGGGGAUCGCAAGACCUCGCGCUUCCGGAGCGGCCGAUGUCGGAUUAGCUAGUUGGCGGGUAAAGGCCCACCAAGGCAACGAUCCGUAGCGGGUCUGAGAGGAUGAUCCGCCACACUGGGACUGAGACACGGCCCAGACUCCUACGGGAGGCAGCAGUGGGGAAUUUUGGACAAUGGGCGCAAGCCUGAUCCAGCCAUGCCGCGUGCAGGAUGAAGGCCUUCGGUUGUAAACUGCUUUUGUACGGACGAAAAGACUCUCUCUAAUACAGGGGUGAAUGACGGUACCGUAAGAAUAAGACACCGGCUAACUACGUGCCAGCAGCCGAC